UCCAGACUCCUACGGGAGGCAGCAGUGGGGGAUAUUGCACAAUGGGGGAAACCCUGAUGCAGCGACGCCGCGUGGGCGAAGAAGUAUUUCGGUAUGUAAAGCCCUAUCAGCAGGGAAGAAGAAAUGACGGUACCUGAGUAAGAAGCACCGGCUAACUACGUGCCAGCAGCCGCGGUCAUACGUAGGAUCCGAGCAUUAUCCGGAGUGACUGGGUGUAAAGAGUUGCGUAGGUGGCAUAGUAAGUAGCUAGUGAAAUCUGGUGGCUCAACCAUUCAGACUAUUAGCUAAACUGCUAAGCUCGAGACCGUUAGGGGUAACUGGAAUUUCUAGUGUAGGAGUGAAAUCCGUAGAUAUUAGAAGGAACACCGAUAGCGUAGGCAGGUUACUGGGACGGUUCUGACACUAAGGCACGAAAGCGUGGGGAGCAAACGGGAUUAGAUACCCCGGUA
rnacentral:rRNA from 1 species